rnacentral:sRNA from 1 species
AGUAGUGCUCUGCAGUGUUUAUUUCAUCCUCAAGAUCACUUAUUUGAGACAUAGUCCUCAAGUGGAAUUAUGAAAUCAAAGAGUGACUCCAUAAAGUGCCUCACAACACAAGAGCUGAGCAGAUAUAAUUUCUACAGUAGAAUUUAAUCAUUCUGGAGAAUUACUAGCAACAGGAGAUAAAGGUGGUAGAGUUGUCAUCUUUCAACAGGAGCAGGAGAACAAAAUCCAGUCUCAUAGCAGAGGAGAAUAUAAUGUUUACAGCACCUUCCAGAGCCAUGAACCAGAGUUUGACUACUUGAAAAGUUUAGAAAUAGAAGAAAAGAUCAACAAAAUUAGGUGGUUACCCCAGAAAAAUGCUGCUCAGUUUUUAUUGUCUACCAAUGAUAAAACAAUAAAAUUAUGGAAAAUCAGUGAAAGGGACAAAAGACCAGAAGGGUAUAACUUGAAAGAGGAAGAUGGAAGGUAUAGAGAUCCUACUACAGUUACUACACUACGAGUGCCAGUCUUUAGGCCUAUGGAUCUAAUGGUUGAGGCCAGUCCACGAAGAAUAUUUGCCAAUGCUCAUAC